rnacentral:rRNA from 1 species
CGAAAGCCUGACGGAGCAACGCCGCGUGUGGGAAGAAGGCUCUUGGGCUGUCAACCACUUUUCUCAGGGAAGAAGACCUGACGGUACCUGAGGAAUCAGCCUCGGCUAACUCCGUGCCAGCAGCCGCGGUAAUACGGAGGAGGCAAGCGUUAUCCGGAAUUAUUGGGCGUAAAGCGUCCGCAGGGGGCGCAUCAAGUCUGCUGUCAAAGACCGAGGCUCAACCUCGGGUCGGCAGUGGAAACUGGUGGGCUAGAGGGCGACAGGGGUAGAGGGAAUUCCCAGUGUAGCGGUGAAAUGCGUAGAGAUUGGGAAGAACACCGGUGGCGAAAGCGCUCUACUGGGUCGCACCUGACCCUCAGGGACGAAAGCUAAGGUAGCG